AUUGAACGCUGGCGGCAGGCCUAACACAUGCAAGUCGAACGAGUGGCGGACGGGUGAGUAAUGUCUGGGAAACUGCUCGAUGGAGGGGGAUAACUACUGGAAACGGUAGCUAAUCCCGCAUACCAUCGGAUGUGCCCAGAUGGGAUUAGCUAGUAGGUGGGGUAACGGCUCACCUAGGCGACGAUCCCCAGCUGGUCUGAGAGGAUGACCAGCCACACUGGAACUGAGACACGGUCCAGACUCCUACGGGAGGCAGCAGUGGGGAAUAUUGCGCAAUGGGCGCAAGCCUGAUGCAGCCAUGCCGCGUGGAUGAAGAAGGCCUUCGGGUUGUAAAGUACUUUCAGCGGGGAGGCGUUACUCGCAGAAGAAGCACCGGCUAACUCCGUGCCAGCAGCCGCGGUAAUAC
rnacentral:rRNA from 1 species